rnacentral:rRNA from 1 species
GGUGGAAAGCUUUUGCGGUAUGGGAUGAGCUCGCGGCCUAUCAGCUUGUUGGUGGGGUAAUGGCCUACCAAGGCGUCGACGGGUAGCCGGCCUGAGAGGGUGUACGGCCACAUUGGGACUGAGAUACGGCCCAGACUCCUACGGGARGCAGCAGUGGGGAAUAUUGCACAAUGGGCGCAAGCCUGAUGCAGCGACGCCGCGUGGGGGAUGACGGCCUUCGGGUUGUAAACUCCUUUCGCAACCGACGAAGCUUUUGUGACGGUAGGUUGAGAAGAAGCACCGGCUAACUACGUGCCAGCAGCCGCGGUAAUACGUAGGGUGCGAGCGUUGUCCGGAAUUACUGGGCGUAAAGAGCUCGUAGGUGGUUUGUCGCGUCGUUUGUGGAAUACCGCAGCUUAACUGCGGGGUUGCAGGCGAUACGGGCAUAACUUGAGUGCUGUAGGGGAGACUGGAAUUCCUGGUGUAGCGGUGGAAUGCGCAGAUAUCAGGAGGAACACCGAUGGCGAAGGCAGGUCUCUGGGCAGUAACUGACGCUGAGGAGCGAAAGCAUGGGGAGCGAACAGGAUUAGAUACCCUGGUAGUCCAUGCCGUAAACGGUGGGCGCUAGGUGUGAGUCCCUUCCACGGGGUUCGUGCCGUAGCUAACGCAUUAAGCGCCCCGCCUGGGGAGUACGGCCGCAAGGCUAAAACUCAAAGGAAUUGACGGGGGCCCGCACAAGCGGCGGAGCAUGUGGAUUAAUUCGAUGCAACGCGAAGAACCUUACCUGGGCUUGACAUACACUGGAUCGGGCUAGAGAUAGUCUUUCCCUUUGUGGCUGGUGUACAGGUGGUGCAUGGUUGUCGUCAGCUCGUGUCGUGAGAUGUUGGGUUAAGUCCCGCAACGAGCGCAACCCUUGUCUUAUGUUGCCAGCAUUUGGUUGGGGACUCAUGAGAGACUGCCGGGGUGAACUCGGAGGAAGGUGGGGAUGACGUCAAAUCAUCAUGCCCCUUAUGUCCAGGGCUUCACACAUGCUACAAUGGUCGGUACAACGCGUGUGCGAUCCUGUGAGGGUGUGCUAAUCGCUGAAAGCCGGUCGUAGUUCGGAUUGGGGUCUGCA